rnacentral:lncRNA from 1 species
GAGCCCUUUAAAAGAGAAUCUGGAGAUCAGAGACUUACAGACUCGAAAUAAAUUCUCUUUCUCUCUCUUGCUCUUUUGCUGGCUUUGAAGAAGCAAGAAUUCUACAGCUGCAAGAAAAUGAAUUCUGCCAAUGACCACAUGAACUUGGAAGAGGACCUCAAGCCUCAAACCUCAGAUGAGACCACAGCGCCAGCUGAUAUGUUGACUUGAGGUUUGUGAGACAUUGAGUAGAAGACCCAAUGAAGCCAUGCUCAGACUUGACCCGUAGGAACUGUGAGAAAAGGAAUGAUGACUCCAUGGGCAGAACCAAGAUCUUGGAGAGUGAAACUGAAAGCCUUGGUGGAUUAUUCCCAGGCUUGAAACCUAAUCAAGGAACUCUGGCUGGAUUUCAGAACUGCCAUGGACCAGUAACUCCUUUCUACUUUCCAUUUUUCCCCUUUUUGAACUGGAAUGUUCACAGCUAUCAUUUUGUGCCUGUCUCACCAUUGCAUAUUCACUCCUGGGGGUUGAUGUCUUGUCUCUUUAGUUUCACAGGUGAGCAGGUGGAAGAGAAUUGAGCCACAGAAACUGUUAUUUAGCAGAUUACAUGUGGGAGCCUCAUGCUCACCUAGUUACGACUUAGAUAAUGAGAUUUUGGACUCUGAGCAGAUGCUAAAAUGGGACAAGACACUUAAGAACCCUUGGAAGAGAUGAAUGUAUUUUGCAUUUGUGAAGAAUGUAAAUCAUUGGGGGCUAGAGUUUGGACUGUUAUAGGCAAAAUUCUAAAAUGGAUCCCAAGGUUCCCACCUCCAUGGUGUAAUAGUGAUAUAUGAUACUCUCCCUUGAAUGUGGGCAGCACCUGUAAUUAUGCUGAAUGUCACUCCCAUUAUUAGGUUAUAUUAGAAGGUCAAGGAUUUUUGCAGAUAUAAUUAAAGUUCCCAAUCAGUUGGUUUUAAAUUAAUCUAAAGAAAGAAGUCCUGGUGGGCCUGACUAAAUCAGAUGGUCCCUUUAAAAGAGGUUCUAGAGGUCAGAGAGAUUAUCCUAUUGGCCUUAAAACAGUAAGGUACUAUGUUGUGAGAGGUCCUAUGAGAGGGCUGUGUGGCAAGGACCUAAGACUAGCCUCAAGCUGCUGAGAGCAGCCCUGACUAAAACAUUUUAUCCUUAGAUUUAAUUAAUUAUGUCUAUAUUUUUACAUUGUCUGUUUCCUUUCUGUCUACAUCAUUAUUAAUUCCUUUCUUCUCUUUUCUUUGGUUCAUCUGUUAUUUUCUUUCUCACUCCCAUAUUUGCAGGCUUAAUUCACUUUUAAAAAUUUUAAUUCAGUAAUAAAAGUAUUUCUUAUCAUAACUGUUUCAUCAUAUAUUUAUAUAUUCAUUUCAGUUAGGUUUGAAUACUUUUUGAAUUCAUUUUCUCUCAAACGUUUUAUUUUAGCUGUUUUACAUUCCCCUUUCCCCUCUUUGGAGCCUGAGAUUAAUUUUAAAUGAGAUAAUUAUGACAUCUAGUAUUUAUCCUUUUUUCAAACCAUAAUCUAUAGAGACAAUUUUAGUUUACUAUUACUUAAAUGAUUCUUCUUAUUAUAUCUCUGCCAUGGAUAGUAAAAAUUGUACGAAAAAUUUCCUGUCCUUGCUCAACAUUAGUCCCAUUAGAUGAUUUUCUGGUCACCUUUGAAAUAUUUCCAAGACUAGGAUUCAUAAACUCCUUUGUUGUCUCUAAAAUAAUUCAUAGUUCAAUGCUACUUCUCUGGUACCAUCUUUUUCCUUCAGAUAUUCCCCAAAAUAGCAGUUCGUAUUUACUUUUUGCCUAAAUAUUGAGUGAAAAAGAGACAAUCUACCAGGUUGAUUCUCUUUGUAUAAAAGUCAAUCUUUCUUCUUCCUUUUUUUUUUUUUCCCCAUGUUUUAGUGUUAAUGCGACAUUUUAAUGUUUUCAAAGAUCUUUGACCUCAUUUCAUAAUCAGUGAAAAUGAGCGAGGAGGACUUGCAUUGUUCAGAUAAGUCAACCACGGGUAAGUGAGAGUAGGGAGUCUGCCAAAGGUGUCCUCGUAAUUACCCCAUCCCUGUUACAGGAGCUCCCACGGCAGCCUGCUGCACGCCGCUCCUUUAUCUAAUUUCAGGAGCUAGUUCGUUGAGCGAUCUUCAGUAAUAGCAAUGAAGAGCUAUUUCUCAGAAACAAAUGAUUGGAAACUAAUACUUGGCAAAUUCAUGGCUCAGCUUUUUUUCUCCCCCCUUUUUUGUUAACUAGACUGCUGUACUUAAAAUUAAAUCCUCUCCUGGGCUCACAGCUGGUACUGCAAACACAGCUAAUUGGACAGACUGAAGUGUGAAACUAAAUAUAUAUGUUGUCAUUUUAUCCAACAGUUUCUGGAAAAUGUACUGCAGGUAAAUCAGCAGGCGUUUGCAAAGCUUUUGAAAAAGUACAGGCGGACAUAUUAAGCCUCGUGAUGGAUAUGUCUCUCUGCCGGAGCAAAGCAGGCACCUGACUUUUGUAGGCAUUACUGAGGCAGCAUAGAUUUGUCAUUCUGAACACAAAUGGGACUUUUUCCUUAUGCAAUUUUGAAUGUUUUGAUUGAUUUUGGAUAAUAGCCUCCCAAAUUCCUUCCCAACUUUUUUUUUCUCAUUCAACAUUUUGUUCUCCUCUCUUUGUCCUAAAAGGAAUACCAAAUACCUCCUGUUAAAUAACUCCAAAAUGUGGUUUUAAAUGCCUUUCAUCGUGUGGAUUAUAGAGGAGGAACUUGUGAAACGUGUGUCUAAUCACCAAAUAAAUAGAUACCCAUAUUUCACUCAUUGUGUUUCUCAUUCUGGAGUCUCAGUGAAAUAGAAGCAUUGGAAAUCAGGCAGUUAGAUACUUAAAAGAGAGGAAAAGAAAAGAAAAAUCUUAUCAGGGUUCCUUUGAGACCCAGCAUGAUAUCUGCUUAUUUGAUAAGUUUCUCUCUUCCAAGACUUUAUAACCAUUUUCAGCUUCCAAUUGGAAGACAUCACUGAUUAAUUUUUAACUCAGAAGAGAAGCAAGUUAAUGACACUGCUAGUUUCCUCUGUGUGAUAAUUUCAAUUUACUUUUCAUUCUUUUCUGCCCUGCUCUGCAUCUUGUGAGAGCAAAUUCUAUAAAAGGCAAGAUCCAGGCUCUCUUGACUUCUGGCUUCCGUUUGGUUUUGGCCAAUGACAUGCAUUGACAGAUUAGAAAGCAGGAAAAGAAAGAGGCUGGGUAUUUAUUUUCCUUGCUUCUUGUCGACCAGGUGACAGUUUUGCCAGUGGUUGUGUUUGUGUACCUAACAGAGUCUUUGUGACAGUUCCUGCUCUCAUCAGACUCUGAAUCACUGUUUCUUUCCUUUGCUCACUCGGGCACAGUGUACUAAUGUUGCAUGAAAUUGCUAAUCUCUGAACACUUUACCAUUCCUCGUUGGUUUCCUUAGUCAUCCCCACCCAUCUUUAAAUUAUCCUUUCAUUAUACCCCAUUUAAUUAAAAUUUUAAAUGUGAAAUCUGUUUUCCGAUAGAAUUUUGAUAGAGAAAAUAAUUGGUAGCAAGUUUGGGCGCAAGAACCUAACCCUCAAAAUGCAAUUCUGGGUUUUGUGGGGAUACUGAAAGACUAAAUGGGCAAUCUUGACACUGGUAAUUGAUGUCAUGAAGUGACAAGUAUUUUAAAUAUUCACCAUUGACGGCAUCAGAUGAAGAGCCAGUGGAGGGCAAGCCAUUGGGAGGACAAUGACAAAGUGGCACUUAGGAGUUUGUGUUUCCUUUGUGCUGCGUAUGGUAGCUUUUUAUCUAAAUAAAAGGAUAAGAAUGGAAGCUGAAUGGCAGAAAGGACUGUGCUGGCGCAUGCCUAUUUUUACUUAUAUAUAUAUUUUAUUUGCUCUUUUCACUGCCCUGUGCUUUAGGAGGCUGACUUCUACAGACUGUAUCACCAGAUAUCUUUGCUAUCUGGCUACUAUUUGGGUUUGACCAAUAGGAGGCAUCAGUGGAAACUCAGAGGGUAAGAAAAGGGAGAGGCUGGGUAUUUAUUCCUUUAUAUCCUCCUGUUGGACUAUGGUUUAGCAGUGCCUACAUUUCUCUGCUACAUUUCUCAGUUCAUGUCUGAGGCCCCUCUUCCAUGGUCCUACCUCCUCCCAGGUUCUCUAACACAUCCCACUCCUUUUAGCUUCAGGCCAAAGGAUGAGAGCAGCCUCCCACUGUUGCAAAUCCCUGUGUGCUACAUGACCCUUUGUUGUCUCCUUCACCCGUGAUUCCUCUUUAUAAAUUGUCCUUUCAUUGAACUCUCUUUAAUUAAACUCUUUUUUUUUAAUUUUUAAAGUUUUUUUUUUUGAGCAAGAUUAACCCUGCGCUAACAUCUGCUGCCAAUCCUCCUCUUUUUGCUGCGGAAGACUGGCUCUGAGCUAACAUUCAUGCCCAUCUUCCUCUACUUUAUAUGUGGGAUGCCUACCAUAGCAUGGCUUGCCAAGUGGUGCCAUGUCCAUACCUGGGAUCCGAACCAGCGAACCCCAGGCCACCGAAGUGGAACAUGAGAACUUAGCUGCUGCACCACCGCUUUAAUUAAAUUCUUUGAUGUGCUGUUUCCUGCCAUGAUCCUGACUGAUAAGAACAAAGUCCUUAGACCACAAGAUGGAAGCAUUGGAUCUUCUUGACUUUGCAGCACAUAUUCUACAUUAUAUUAUGAGACAGGGAACUGGAAGUCAAGUACUGCUCACUCCUUUGAGGAAUCUCUAUGUGCCUUUGUUUUGUUUUCUGUUAGCAAAGUGCCUCUAUUAUGUGAUCUGCACAUCCACAUCCAAGAUUUAGUAUGGUAGCUGGCCAACAGGGGCCUGUUGGUAUAUGAACUUUCUGGUAUUUCUGAGAACAACAGUGACAAGAUACUGUGAGAAAAUGGUCUGAAGUAAUAAAUGAAGUGGACACACCAUUUUCUGAAAAUGGUGAUAUACUCUGAGAACACACGCAGAAAUAAGAGAUAGCCAAGACUCAUACGUCUUAGUUCAGGACACUCUUGAUUAUUGGUGCAGAGGGAAAUUCCUGAUUCUGGCAUAGGUGGGAGUGUCUUAACUCUUUCCCAGUCUCUGUGAAAUAUUUUUCAAGUUGCAAAAAAGAGACUAGGCUGUGAAACAGACAAGGAAGUCUUCCUUUUGCAGUGUAUGAGAAUCAUAACAGCUUGGGAGAAAACUACUUUGAAAUGCCAGCACUGGCUACAGUGAGAAGAGCCAAUAGUAUCGCAGUGGCAUGAAGAGGCCUGUGUGCCAUUUUUGGUAUUUGUGUUAUCAAAAGGAACAGUCAACAAGGGGCAUAAAACAGGCAUAAGCUUGCAAAGAACCAUUACAAAAGGAAGUUCUUCGUGAGUUCUAGUUCUAGGAUCUAUAAUACUGGUUGAGAGAUCAGAUUAAAUAUCAUUAUAAUUACACUUUUGGUGUGGCCUGGGGCUACUGUUAUAGGUAUUGAUUACUAUUAUUGUUUAUUGAGCUACUACUGUGUAUGGCACUUGAUAUACUUUAUUUCAUUAAUGCUAACAACUUUUCAAAGUACCUCCAUGCUCAUUUUACAUAUGAAAGAACUAAAUCUGAGUGAAUUUUGUUAACUCGUCUGUUAUAGACCUAGUAGGUCCUCAAGUCUAGAUUCAAACUUUGUUCUUGCUGAUUUCUAGGAUGGUCAACUCUCAACAUGCUUGCUGACUGAAGGCCCAGUAUUGACCCAUAAUUGUGUUUUAGGGGAAAUUCCUUUUCUUUCACUAUUAAUGCUUUCAUAGGAAUAGGUUUUUAUAUUUUGUUUUUCUUGCUCAUUUCAACUACAUGCAUCUUCCAUCCCAUGUGGUGUGCGGCCAACUACAGAAAGAUUGAGGCCAACUCAUAAAAAGAAAUAGAGCAAAGAAAACAGAAUGAGAAGACCUGGCAAUAGCUUAAUAGCUUUUAGGUCCUAGAUUCAUGCAAAGCUUUGGUUUGGUUUGCAUUGUUUUCUGUUGUUGGUCUAUCUUAUGUUUCUGUCACUUGCAAUAAAAGGAAUGGAACUGGUACAAUGAAGAUCUGGAAAAAUAAUGAUCGUUAUCUUGGGGAUCUGAAUCACUAGCCUAAUGAUGAGCUAAUUAAGCUGGCCUCCUUUUGCUGGUAGACUGGCUUUGAACUCAUGCACUGGUUUUAUUCUUCAGGCAUUUGCUACUUUGUGAGAACAAGUAAACAAAACACAUUUUUCCUUGUCAUUACAAUAAAACACCUACGUUAUGGAUAAGAUGCUUUAAAAUCUCUCUUGAGACUUGGCACUGAACUCCAAUUUGUAAGACUAGAGUUCUUUUUGGAUUUUUCCCAUCUAAAAACCCUUCCUAGGGGAUGACAUUCUGUCCAUGAAAAUCCCAAAC